rnacentral:rRNA from 1 species
GUCGAGAAUUUUUCACAAUGGGCGAAAGCCUGAUGGAGCGACGCCGCGUGGGGGAUGAAUGGCUUCGGCCCGUAAACCCCUGUCAUUUGCGAACAAACCUUAUUCAUUAACACUGAAUGAGCUGAUUGUAGCGGAAGAGGAAGGGACGGCUAACUCUGUGCCAGCAGCCGCGGUAAUACAGAGGUCCCGAGCGUUGUUCGGAUUCACUGGGCGUAAAGGGUGCGUAGGUGGUGAGGUAAGUCGGAUGUGAAAUCUCCGGGCUCAACCCGGAAACUGCAUUGGAAACUACCUUGCUUGAGGAUUUGAGGGGGGAUUGGAAUACUUGGUGUAGCAGUGAAAUGCGUAGAUAUCAAGUGGAACACCAGUGGCGAAGGCGAAUCCCUGGAAAAUACCUGACACUGAGGCACGAAAGCUAGGGGAGCAAACAGGAUUAGAUACCCUUGUAGUCC